rnacentral:rRNA from 1 species
AGUGAACGCUGGCGGCAGGCCUAACACAUGCAAGUCGAGCGGCAGCGCGUCCGACCACCCUCGGGUGGUCGGAUGGCGGCGAGCGGCGGACGGGUGAGGAAUGCAUCGGAAUCUGCCUCGUUGUGGGGGAUAACGUAGGGAAACUUACGCUAAUACCGCAUACGACCUACGGGUGAAAGUGGGGGACCUUCGGGCCUCACGCGAUGAGAUGAGCCGAUGCCGGAUUAGCUAGUUGGCGGGGUAAAGGCCCACCAAGGCGACGAUCCGUAGCUGGUCUGAGAGGAUGAUCAGCCACACUGGAACUGAGACACGGUCCAGACUCCUACGGGAGGCAGCAGUGGGGAAUAUUGGACAAUGGGGGCAACCCUAAUCCAGCCAUGCCGCGUGUGUGAAGAAGGCCUGGUUGUAAGCAC